CCUACGGGAGGCAGCAGUGGGGAAUCUUCCGCAAUGGGCGCAAGCCUGACGGAGCAACGCCGCGUGAGUGAAGAAGGUCUUCGGAUCGUAAAGCUCUGUUGACGGGGACGAACGUGCGGAGAGCGAAUAGCUCUUUGCAAUGACGGUACCUGUCGAGGAAGCCACGGCUAACUACGUGCCAGCAGCCGCGGUAAUACGUAGGUGGCGAGCGUUGUCCGGAAUCAUUGGGCGUAAAGGGAGCGCAGGCGGGCUUAUCAGUCUUUCUUAAAAGUUCGGGGCUCAACCCCGUGAUGGGAAAGAAACUAUAAGUCUUGAGUACAGGAGAGGAAAGCGGAAUUCCCAGUGUAGCGGUGAAAUGCGUAGAUAUUGGGAGGAACACCAGUGGCGAAGGCGGCUUUCUGGACUGCAACUGACGCUGAGGCUCGAAAGCCAGGGGAGCGAACGGGAUUAGAUACCCCUGUAGUC
rnacentral:rRNA from 1 species